UACGGGGGGGGCAAGCGUUGUUCGGAAUUACUGGGCGUAAAGGGCUCGUAGGCGGCCAACUAAGUCGGAUGUGAAAUCCCCAGGCUUAACCUGGGAACUGCAUCCGAUACUGGAUGGCUUGAAUCCGGGAGAGGGAUGCAGAAUUCCAGGUGUAGCGGUGAAAUGCGUAGAUAUCUGGAGGAACACCGGUGGCGAAGGCGGCAUCCUGGACCGGCAUUGACGCUGAGACGCGAAAGCGUGGGGAGCGAACAGG
rnacentral:rRNA from 1 species